AUCCAGCUGACGAGUUCCAAAUAAAACGAAGCGCGUGUCAAAUUGUAU
rnacentral:hammerhead_ribozyme from 1 species